AGAGUCUCAACGCUUCUUCUAAAGAAUUCGACAAAUCAAAACUCUCUAUUUCUCGCUUCUUCUUAUUCUAAAACCCUAAUUCUCUUCUCAAGACAAUUUUGUCUUUAUCUCUCUGUGAAUUCCGAUGAUGAUCCAAGUAGAGAUAUUCAAGUAAAAGCCGAUGGUGAUGAUCUCUGAAACGUCCGUAAUUGAUCGGAGCGAUAUCAUAUCAUCAUCGUUUCGUGAUUGAACCAUCAAAUCUAUGUCAUCAAGAUCGAUGUCGCCAGAUAAUGAUCUGACCAACGAGAGACGCUUUCACCGGAGACUACAAAGAGGAGGAUAUAGCCAAGAGAGCGGAGAGCUUUAUGGUGGUGGAUGAUGUCACGAGAGGGCUCCCAAAGACC